AGGAAUUCUUACAGCAGUCAAACUUGGUAACUCGAGCUCACCCCUAACCAUGUUUGAGAAUAGACUCGACUCCAGUGUUUACAACUAUCUUGGAGAGUCAAGGUCAAAUAGAACACACGUGUAUGAGCUCAGCGGACAAGCUAAUAUGCGCACACCAUCAGCAGUCUCCUACGUGUACUUCUAGUGGUACUAGCGGUUCGUGUGAGAGUUGACGGUUUGAUGAUUCUGUACAGAAGCUUUUCGUACAAAGGCGAUGAGAAAAAGCCAUCCAUCUGGGGGAAGUGACGUCACAGUGGAAGCCGUUUAGAAGCCCUCUAUUCUUGUUUCUGGCGCUGAACUGAAGCCCAGGCUAGAAGAAAGCCAUCUAGUCAACAGCAAAGCUACACAAGAAUUAUAUCUGCUAGCCAUCGCUAAUUUUGAUCUACUAGGCUAGAAGGAAGCCAUCUAGUCAACAUCAAAGCUACACAAAAAUUAUAUCUGCUAGCCAUCGCUAAUUUUGAUCUACUAGGCUAGAAGGAAGCCAUCUAGUCAACAGCAAAGCUACACAAGAAUUAUAUACGUUAGCCAUCGCUAAUUUUGAUCUACUAGGCUAGAGGGAAGGAAGCUAGUCAACAGCAUCCACCGCCAACUCUUGGGCUACUCUAAACGGCUGCGUUUUUUUUUUUGUCUCCACCAAGCUCUACCAAAAGAAUGAUAUUUCUGCUCACAGAAGGAGAAUACAAGACGUACGACGAGACAGCAAAGAUGGUGGAAAAAAAAGACAUGACGUGGAUGGAGAAUUACGAAAAAGAAAAAUUAACCCGGAUACACGGGGCUGCUGUUCAGUGUGAAAUUCAGUUUGACUAAAGUUCAAGUUCAAAUGAAGUAUAGGAUCCGCCAAGCACAUAUAAUUCGCAAGAAGAAGAUGUUCCAAGUUGUCAAGAGGGAACUGAAUUUCAUCAGGAUCUCGAACGUGACCAGAAUUGUGCAAACGGAAUGGUUCAAGACAUUAACAAGUUGAGAG
rnacentral:misc_RNA from 1 species